rnacentral:rRNA from 1 species
AGUGAACGCUGGCGGUAGGCCCAACACAUGCAAGUCGAACGGCAGCACAGUAAGAGCUUGCUCUUACGGGUGGCGAGUGGCGGACGGGUGAGGAAUACAUCGGAAUCUACUUUUUCGUGGGGGAUAACGUAGGGAAACUUACGCUAAUACCGCAUACGACCUACGGGUGAAAGCAGGGGAUCUUCGGACCUUGCGCGAUUGAAUGAGCCGAUGUCGGAUUAGCCAGUUGGCGGGGUAAAGGCCCACCAAGGCGACGAUCCGUAGCUGGUCUGAGAGGAUGAUCAGCCACACUGGAACUGAGACACGGUCCAGACUCCUACGGGAGGCAGCAGUGGGGAAUAUUGGACAAUGGGCGCAAGCCUGAUCCAGCCAUACCGCGUGGGUGAAGAAGGCCUUCGGGUUGUAAAGCCCUUUUGUUGGGAAAGAAAAGCAGCAGGUUAAUACCCCGCUGUUCUGACGGUACCCAAAGAAUAAGCACCGGCUAACUUCGUG